rnacentral:rRNA from 1 species
GUUAUAUGGUCAAGUGACUAAGCGUACACGGUGGAUGCCUAGGCGACAACAGGCGAAGAAGGACGUAGUAGGCUGCGAUAAGCCUCGGAGAGCUGUCAAACAAGCAUUGACCCGGGGAUAUCCGAAUGGGGCAACCCACCCUUUUAGGGUAUCUUUAACUGAAUACAUAGGUUAAAGAGGCGAACGCGGGGAACUGAAACAUCUAAGUACCCGUAGGAAAAGAAAUCAACCGAGAUUCCCUAAGUAGCGGCGAGCGAAAGGGGAGUAGCCCAAAAGCUGUAAUAACCUUAGCAGAAUUUACUGGAAAGUAGAACCAUAGAGAGUGAUAGUCUCGUAUGCGAAAAGGUUAAUAGAGUAAAAAUGAGUAGGGCGGGACACGAGAAAUCCUGUCUGAAGAUGGGGGGACCAUCCUCCAAGGCUAAAUACUCGUUGUCGACCGAUAGUGAACCAGUACCGUGAGGGAAAGGCGAAAAGAACCCCGGGAGGGGAGUGAAAUAGAACCUGAAACCGUGUACGUACAAGCAGUGGGAGCAGACUUGUUCUGUGACUGCGUACCUUUUGUAUAAUGGGUCAGCGACUUAAUUUUAGUAGCAAGGUUAACCGGAUAGGGGAGCCGUAGGGAAACCGAGUCUGAAUAGGGCGAGAGUUGCUAGGAUUAGACCCGAAACCGGGCGAUCUAUCCAUGGCCAGGGUGAAGGUGCGGUAACACGCGCUGGAGGCCCGAACCCACUUAUGUUGAAAAAUGAGGGGAUGAGCUGUGGAUCGGAGUGAAAGGCUAAUCAAGCCCGGAGAUAGCUGGUUCUCCUCGAAAGCUAUUUAGGUAGCGCCUCAUGUCUCACUUACGGGGGUAGAGCACUGUUUCGGCUAGGGGGCCAUCCCGGCUUACCAACCCGAUGCAAACUCCGAAUACCGUAAAGUGCAAUCAUGGGAGACACACGGCGGGUGCUAACGUCCGUCGUGGAGAGGGAAACAACCCAGACCGCCAGCUAAGGUCCCAAAAUCGAAACUUAGUGGGAAACGAUGUGGGAAGGCAGAGACAGCCAGGAGGUUGGCUUAGAAGCAGCCAUCCUUUAAAGAAAGCGUAAUAGCUCACUGGUCGAGUCGGCCUGCGCGGAAGAUAUAACGGGGCUGAAGUUUCGUACCGAAGCUGCGGAAGCGUGUAUACACGCUUGGUAGAGGAGCGUUCUGUAGGCUGUUGAAGGUGAACCGGGAGGUUUGCUGGAGGUAUCAGAAGUGCGAAUGCUGACAUAAGUAACGACAAUGCGAGUGAAAGUCUCGCACGCCGAAAGCCCAAGGUUUCCUGCGCAACGUUCAUCGGCGCAGGGUUAGUCGGCCCCUAAGGCGAGGCAGAAAUGCGUAGCUGAUGGGAAACAGGUUAAUAUUCCUGUACCGCUUAUUAGUGCGAUGGGGUGACGAAGAAGGCUAGGUCAGCUAACUGUUGGAAUAGUUAGUUUAAGCCUGUAGGUAGAGUACUUAGGCAAAUCCGGGUACUUAAUACUGAGAGGUAAUGACGAAGUUCUACGGAACUGAAGUGAUUGAUGCCCUGCUUCCUGGAAAACCCUCUAAGCUUCAGCUAAUAAGGACCGUACUCCAAACGGACACACGUGGGCGGGGUGAGAAUCCCAAGGCGCUUGAGAGAACUCGGGUGAAGGAACUAGGCAAAAUAGCACCGUAACUUCGGGAGAAGGUGUGCCUGCAUUAAGUGAAGCUUCUAGCAAGUAGAGCUGAAACAGGUUGCAAUAACCAGGUGGCUGCGACUGUUUAUCAAAAACAUAGCACUCUGCAAAAUCGAAAGAUGAAGUAUAGGGUGUGACGCCUGCCCGGUGCCGGAAGGUUAAUUGAUGGGGUUAGCGCAAGCGAAGCUCUUGAUCGAAGCCCCGGUAAACGGCGGCCGUAACUAUAACGGUCCUAAGGUAGCGAAAUUCCUUGUCGGGUAAGUUCCGACCUGCACGAAUGGCGUAACGAUGGCCACACUGUCUCCACCCGAGACUCAGUGAAAUUGAAAUCGCUGUUAAGAUGCAGCGUACCCGCGGCUAGACGGAAAGACCCCGUGAACCUUUACUACAGCUUUGCACUGAAUUUUGAACCUGCUUGUGUAGGAUAGGUGGGAGGCAAUGAAACUAAAACGCCAGUUUUAGCCGAGCCGCCCUUGAAAUACCACCCUGGCAUGUUUGGAGUUCUAACCUCGGGCCGUAAACCGGUUCAGGGACAGUGUAUGGUGGGUAGUUUGACUGGGGCGGUCUCCUCCCAAAGAGUAACGGAGGAGCACGAAGGUACCCUAAGCAUGGUCGGACAUCAUGCGGUUAGUGUAAAGGCACAAGGGUGCUUGACUGUGAGACAGACAAGUCGAACAGGUACGAAAGUAGGUCUUAGUGAUCCGGUGGUUCUGAAUGGAAGGGCCAUCGCUCAACGGAUAAAAGGUACUCCGGGGAUAACAGGCUGAUACCGCCCAAGAGUUCAUAUCGACGGCGGUGUUUGGCACCUCGAUGUCGGCUCAUCACAUCCUGGGGCUGUAGUCGGUCCCAAGGGUAUGGCUGUUCGCCAUUUAAAGUGGUACGCGAGCUGGGUUCAGAACGUCGUGAGACAGUUCGGUCCCUAUCUGCCGUGGGCGUUUGAGAAUUGAGAGGAGCUGCUCCUAGUACGAGAGGACCGGAGUGGACGAACCUCUGGUGUUCCGGUUGUCACGCCAGUGGCACUGCCGGGUAGCUAUGUUCGGACGGGAUAACCGCUGAAAGCAUCUAAGCGGGAAGCCUCCCUCAAGACGAGUUCUCACUGGAGCCUUGAGCUCCCUAAAGGGUCGUUGGAGACUACGACGUUGAUAGGUCGGGUGUGGAAGCGCAGUAAUGUGUGAAGCUAACCGAUACUAAUUGCCCGUGAGGCUUGGCCAUAUAACCCCAAAGGGUUU